AAUUCUAGUACUAAAUUUGUACUGGGCGCUGGCGAAGGGCCUGGCUCCGCCACGCGCGGCCCUCUCGAACUGCCCGUGGGUACGGCGCGCGCUGCUGCCCUGUGUGGCCUGUGCGGGGAACCCGAGGGCCGAAGUGGGCCCCGCCGCAGCACAGGGGGACAAGAGAACCAGGAGCGGGCUGCCUGGGGGCAGAUUCGAACCCGUGCUCCCAGCGGAUAGAAGUAGCACUUGGGGACUCCUAAAAUAUUCAGCCCAAUCCUGAUUCCAGCUGCCCUCUCUAGGCACCUUUCCUCUACCCUUCUUCCAGUUUACAAUUCUGGGCUCGAGGUCUCAGUGGACAGAGCUGAAGAAAAGCCGUCUAUGGAGCCUGCGCCAGGCGCAGACUGGGUCGUCGCAGUCUGGGUCGUCGCAGUCUGGGCCGGGGCGCUGGAAGUCUUACUCACUUCUCAAGAACCCGCAAGGGAUCAGGCCUGACCCUUUGCAAGUGACAGAAUCCAAAGCUUUGAGCUCAUGGGAAAGUGGCUGGAAAGAAGGUCACUGUAGGGCCGCACAGGUCUCUGGCGAGGCUACCCAAGAACAUUUAAAUCCCUGCCCAGAGAAGAAGAGGCUCCAGCUGUCCUGCACCUUCCUGGGAACUGGCAGUCCCUCCGCGCAGGGGUUCUGCAGCGACCGGCAGCGCGAGGAGACAAGGAUGGUGGCCAGUUAACAGAAAAUCAAGGCAGCGGGAAAGGUCUGGAAAACACCACCUACUAUCACCUCUGGAGCCUGGGAUUAUGGGAUAAGUUUUCGAUUUUUAAAUGUAUUGUCAAAUAGCUAAAGUACACGGAAAGUGCGAAAUAAUAGUAAAUUGAACACCUGUGUAUUCACCACACAGCUUAAGCAAUAACAUUAGCAAUAUUUGGGUACCCA
rnacentral:lncRNA from 1 species